AUCGGGUCAGGGUAUUUUGUGGAACUUGUUUGUGUUUUGAGAGUUAGGGUUUAUAAAUUCAUCGUUAGCCACCGGAGAUCCAACCAGCCGCUUCUGAGCUGUGGAAUGGAUUGAGGGAAGUCUGCAUAGAAUCUUAGCAGAGAGAUGGAUGCUAUUAAACCCGGUGAGAAACAGCUAGAGAAAGAAGAUGACGACGACGAUGAAGAUGAAGGAACCAUCAUGCAUCAUGAACUCCUUUCGUCGAAUCAGUAAUUAACCAAGAAAUAAAGAGUGGGAAAAAGCACCAUAGUGAAAGCUUUAUAUUUCGGAAGAUUUGAUCUUGUUGAGGUUCCGAUGCUGAAAGUAGACCUGAUAAAUUCAUAGACCAGACGCUCGUGCAUCAUGAUGACUCAGAUAUACCAGUCGUCAAAUUCAAAUUAUGCAGAGGAAGAGCACACAUCAUUUUAAAGACUGAAUGGAUUGAUUUUGCUUUGAAGCAUAAUGUUCAAGAUCUUGUUAGUGAAGCUCUUUUUUCUAAACCAAGUGGGUCUGGCUCCUGUAUCUUUUCCUCCAGAACAUUGAAAAGAUUUACUUUCUUGCUAGGCUUCUAUAUUCUCAGAUGCUCCAGAUCCAUUUAGCUUCCCAGUCUUCAAGAAGUGCCUCUUGGAGGUGUCAUUUUCACUGAUGGCUGUCUGACAGAGGAAUUAUUCUCAUCAUGUCAGGUGCUGGAAUCUGUGCAUUUGUGGAAUUGUGACCUGUCUUGUCUAAAGGUUCUAAAUGUUUCUGCUCUCAGACUCAAGACUAUCGUCGCGGGCUCCAAAACCACUGUGAUUAAUCUUCUAAACAAGUCUUGUAUCACUUAUUGAGGGGAAAUCUUGCACGAAAUUGUCAAAUUAAGGGUGGUGCUUCUAUUCGUUAUGCAGAUAUUCAAGCUAGAGAGUUCUAUAGAAACCAAAUGAGUACAGAUGUUUUUGGUUGCACUGCGUUUAAGUUGCUGAGUGAACUUUGAAAUGUCACUGUACUAAUUGUGGAUAAUUUGUUCUUAGAGCUUCUCUUCUACAAGGCAAGUAAUUCAUGGACAUAUGCAAAUGCAAUCACUUUUCACAAGCUGAGUAUUGUCUAUCUGUCUGUCUGGCCAUCCAAGAAACGUAUCUUGAUGAAUUAUAAUCUUCCUCAGUAGAAUGCCGAAUGUACUUAUCGCUGACUUUCCUCAUGCUUGCACAAGGACAGCCUUCAUAUGCGUCUGUCUUGGCAUGGAAUUCAGAACACCUUGAGACUGUUGGGAUGCCAAAUUUUCUGGAAUAUAUUUACAUUACCUUGUUUGUUGGACAAGAAAUUGAUUUUUGCCUCGUGAAAGCUUUCCUUGGGAAUGCAAAAGCAUAGUGAAGUUGACCAUCUUUACCCGUUGGAAUGGUACUGAAGCUGAUGAUGGAAAGAAGUCUAAGAUUAUUGAGAAGUUAUGGCAUUUCCAAGAGCUUCAACAAAAGCAGAAUUACUUCUCUUGUAAUUUAAAUAUAUUUUCUUAAAGAGGAAAAAUUCAAUAAAUUGCUGAAAAUGGUUCCAGUGUGGAGAAUGAAGAGAAUUAGUGUUUGACAUUGACAAAUAACAGUUGAACUCUUACUUUGAGAGACUUACAUCAAGGAGGCUAUCACAGUCCCUUGAAGAAAACCAAGGAAAAGAAGGGACUAACUUGAUAGGCUAAUGAUAGUUUAGCUUCUUUUUUUAAACUAAAGGCAAAGUUGAUAGUUCCAGUUCUAUGAUAUAGUUGUCUAUAUGUAUUAUAUGUACAGAGAAGAAAGUGGGUAGAAACACUGGGGACUCAGGAAGGUAAAAAACUUAUCUGCAGAUAGGAGUUUGGAGAAGGAGAUGUGUAGUUUUUUUUCCUUGUGUUAAUCUCCUUUUGGAUGUAGGGGAAUGGAAAUGUCAAAACUUUUGGAAUUCAACUCCCUCUUUGAAAGACUUUCUCUAGUUGAAAUGAAUUGAUAUUACAGGUCAUGAUUGAAGUAUGCAAA